AAUGUAUUCGUUUUAAUGUUAAUAUCUUCUUCGAGUUGAAUUUGUGUUUUUAAUAAAUAACGCAGUGAUGCUUGAGCCUUUUUAGCCGUUUCAGCAGUUAACUCGCAAACUCUUUUUGACUCUGAUAAAAGACUAUCAGCUAAUUCUUGUUGAGCUACCGAGCAUUGAUAUCUGAUUUUGAGAAGAGAAAAAUGUUCAUUGUAAAAAGGAAAAAAUAACCUUGAACAAAAAAAUUAUUCUGCAUUUAAAUACCUGAAAGUAUUAUUGAGAUGCCAUUCAUUCAACGUAAAUCUUGGAGGUGGUGGUGGGACCACAAUUAAAGCAUGAUCAGUAUAAGAUUUCAUUUUUGCGAUAGUAUUUUAGAUUCUAAUCGUACAAAGGAUGGGUGGUUUCCAAGGAAACUCGUUUACAGAUCCGUAGCUAUACAACAUUUUUAAUACAAAUCUUCUAAUUAUACUGAUACGUAUAUUAUGAA